GCCGGGCGCAGUGGCUCACGCCUGUAAUCCCAGCACUUUGGGAGGCUGAGGUGGGUGGAUCACCUGAGGUCAGGAGUUUGAGACCAGCCUGGCCAACAUGGUGAAACCCCAUCUCUA
rnacentral:SRP_RNA from 1 species